rnacentral:rRNA from 1 species
GAUGAACGCUAGCGGGAGGCUUAACACAUGCAAGUCGAGGGGUAAAGAGUAGCAAUACUUUGAGACCGGCGGACGGGUGCGUAACGCGUAUGCAACUUACCUUAUGCAGGAGGAUAGCCCGGGGAAACCCGGAUUAAUAUUCCAUAGAUCAGCAGGGUCACAUGGUCCAACUGGUAAAGAUUCAUCGGCAUAAGAUAGGCAUGCGUCUGAUUAGCUGGUUGGUAGGGUAACGGCCUACCAAGGCGACGAUCAGUAGGGGUUCUGAGAGGAUUAACCCCCACACUGGUACUGAGACACGGACCAGACUCCUACGGGAGGCUG